rnacentral:lncRNA from 1 species
GUCCAAAACUAUUUUAGUAUAAAAUGUUAAUAAUCAAGUUUAUAACAACUUCAUUUCCUUUCUUUACAAUAUUUCUCAUAUAAACCUCAACAUCCAAGUGGCAUUUAUCAUGCAUUCAAAGCCAACCAAUAUCAAUCAUAUAUCAUCUCAUACUAGCACACAUAACCAUGAUGAUACAUAUAUCAAUAUGACGAGGCCGUUUACUUAUAUAUACACAACAACAUUUAUCAAAAAAAAAAGCCAAAUCAAAUGGCUAAAUACUUGACCAAAUCAUGUAGGCUACAUUAGCCCAACAACCUAUACAAUGCCAUUAUAACCCAAAAAUAAUAAACCAUGAGUACCAAAAUAGCCAAUAGAUAGUGUGAUGAUGUCUCUGACUCUUCCAACUGCGCGAACUUCCGAUAUCUAGAUACACAAAGAAUUUUAAAACGACGUAAGUAUAAAAUGCUUAGUAAGUUUGUAAUUCAAAGAAGUAAAGCCUAUAACUUCAAUUUAUAAGCAUAAUUUAUUUAAGUCACUCCAACAUGCCUUGGCCUUAGCCUAACCAACAUUAGCCUUUCAAUUUUAAACAUCACAUGAACUAGCAAAUUAUUACAAAACAUUAUGACAUAAGUUUACAUUACUUAUGUGCAUUCACAUAUCAACCAUAUAGCUAAAUAUAUUUUAAUCAUCCAAAAACUCAUUCUUCUCCAUUCUUUCAAUAGCAAUUCAAAUUGAAGAAUUUUUCAAUCUUUACCUUUUUCUCAUAUCCAUUGAACCACAAUUUAAAUGAAUAAACAUAUCAUAAUAUAACUCAUAUUGUUCCACCAACCUAUCAUACAUUCAUUCACAAGGUUAGCUACGAAAUUCACAAAUUUCAUCAAUUCAAUGCUUGUACAGUUCUUGUACAUACCUGUACCAUCUCGUACCAAUUUCAUACUCAUCCAUAUUUUUGAUAUACCCAUUGAACCAUUUGGAAUAAAUAUUGGAUACUCGGGAAUCUUGCACACUAAGUGCUAAUAUCAUGGCUCGAAGCCAAAUCAAUGUAACUUUAAUGACAUGCCCUUUGUAUCUUAAUUUAUUCCUAAGGUUCAACUGGGUUUUCCAAUGCUAAAUUUUCAUAAAAUACUUCCGUACAAUCAUAAUCAUCAACAAUUCAAAUAUACAGCAUUAAAUCUCAAUUAUAAUAAUGUUUAUUAACAAGCUCAUACAUCCAUGUACAUACCUGUACCGAUCCAUAACAAAAUCAUACUUACACGAAAUGUCGCUGCACAAUCGAUGUCUUGCACGCUAAGUGCUAUACCGGAUGUUUCGCACACUAAGUGCCAUCCUCGAUACUUCGUACACUAAGUGCCAUUUCGGAUGUUUCGCACACUAAGUGUCAUCAUCAAUACUUCGUAUACUAAGUGCCAUUUCGGAUGUCUCGCACACUAAGUGCCAUCCUCAAUACUUCGGACGCUAAGUGCCAUUUCAAAUGUCUCGCACACUAAGUGCCAUUUCAGAUGUCUCGCACACUAAGUGUCAUCCUCAAUACUUCGCACACUAAGUGCCGUUCGUUUGGUCGAUAAAUCAUUAAUCAUUAAAAUACUCAUAAAUAUUUCAUUUAUAUGAUUUCAACGCAUUAAAUGCUUAAUAUAAUAAUACUUAAUACGUACGAACUUACCUGACUAAAUUGUAGAAAUACCAAAGUUCAGGGGCAUUUUGGAAAUUUUUCAUUUUCCUUGAUUUUUCCACCCGAUCUUGAUCUAAAUUAAUAAUUUUAUUUAAUAUAUUAAUUUAGACAGUAAAAAAAUUCAUUUCAUACAAAUUGAUCAUUUUUUAUAUUUUUACAAAAUUACCCCUAAAAUUUUACUUUUAUUCAAUUUAGUCACUGAGCUCAAAACAUACAAAUUAACCAUUUUUAACCAAAAUUGAGCUUAGCCAAAUAUUCAUGGUAUCAAAAACAACCUAUAAUUCACUUUAUGGAAAAAUUAUAUUUUUGCCCCGAAUAUUUUAACUUUUUUACAAUUUAGUCCCUAGGCUCAUAAAAAUGAAACUCAUGAAAUUUCAACACACUCAAGCCUAUCCCAAUAUAUUAUAAGCCUACAGCAGCCUAUAAAUUUCACAAUUUCACUUGUUAACACACAAUUUUUGUAUUUAUCAAUUUAAUCUCUAAUCGAUAAUUUCAUCAAAAAUCACUUAACAAAAAGUGUUUAACACCCAACAAGGUUUCAUUUUCUUCCAUUAAACUUCAUAAGCAACUAUCAUGCUUUCAUGGCAAAACUCUAAAUUUUUAACCAUAUUGUAAAUUAAUCCUCUCUUUAGCUAGAGUAAGACACAAGGUUUUCAAAAACAUGAAAAUCAUUAAAAACGAACACCAAUUUCACUUACAUGCAAGGGAUUUUGUGGCUGAAAAAAUCAAGCUUUCAAAGCUCUUUCUUUGCUGAUUUUUUCGGUGAAGAAGAAGAUGAAGAUGACCAUUUUUUUGUUUCUUUCUUUUCUUUUAAUUAUUCUAUUUACUAAUAAUUAUUCCCAAC